UACAGAGGGUGCUAGCGUUGUUCGGAAUCACUGGGCUUAAAGCGCGUGUAGGCGGGCCGGCACGUCGAUGGUUGAAAUCCCCCGGCUCAACCGGGGAAUGGGCCUCGAUACGACCGGCCUGGAGGGGGGUAGGGGGAGCCGGAACUUCCGGUGGAGCGGUGAAAUGCGUUGAGAUCGGAAGGAACGCCCGUGGCGAAAGCGGGCUCCUGGACCCCACCUGGACGCUGAGACGCGAAAGCCAGGGGAGCGAACGGG
rnacentral:rRNA from 1 species